rnacentral:rRNA from 1 species
UACGGAGGGUGCAAGCGUUAUCCGGAUUCACUGGGUUUAAAGGGUGCGUAGGUGGGCAGUUAAGUCAGUGGUGAAAUCCCCGAGCUUAACUUGGGAACUGCCAUUGAUACUAUUUGUCUUGAAUACUGUGGAGGUUAGCGGAAUAUGUCAUGUAGCGGUGAAAUGCUUAGAUAUGACAUAGAACAUCAAUUGCGAAGGCAGCUGGCUACACAAAUAUUGACACUGAUGCACGAAAAGCGUGGGGAUCAAACAGG